rnacentral:snoRNA from 1 species
UGGGCCCAUGAUGAGUACCACGGGGUAUCUGAAACCAGGAUAUUGUGAUUAAACCCGUGUACGACUCUGAGGUCCUU